rnacentral:rRNA from 1 species
UAAGGGGGGGGCAAGCGUUGUUCGGAAUUACUGGGCGUAAAGGGCGCGUAGGCGGCCUGCUAAGUCGGAUGUGAAAUCCCUCGGCUCAACCGAGGAACUGCAUCCGAUACUGGCGGGCUUGAAUCCGGGAGAGGGAUGUGGAAUUCCAGGUGUAGCGGUGAAAUGCGUAGAUAUCUGGAGGAACACCGGUGGCGAAGGCGGCAUCCUGGACCGGCAUUGACGCUGAGGCGCGAAAGCUAGGGGAGCAAACGGG